CAGCAGCCGCGGGAAAACGUAGGGUGCAAGCGUUAAUCGGAAUUACUGGGCGUAAAGCGUGCGCAGGCAGUCCGCUAAGACAGAUGUGAAAUCCCCGGGCUUAACCUGGGAACUGCAUUUGUGACUGGCGGGCUAGAGUAUGGCAGAGGGGGGUAGAAUUCCACGUGUAGCAGUGAAGUGCGUAGAGAUGUGGAGGAAUACCGAUGGCGAAGGCAGCCCCCUGGGCCAAUACUGACGCUCAUGCACGAAAGCGUGGGGAGCAAACAGGAUUAGAGACCCCCGUAGUCCCUGUCUCUUAUAC
rnacentral:rRNA from 1 species